AUUCCAUUUCUCACACGCUGAUCCGGAGACACGCAUCAGCAUCAGUCUCACAUACACGCUGUUUUUUUAAUACAUUGGACUAUAUUAGAUUAGCACAAAUAUACAUUCAGAAGAAGGGCAGCGUCCACUUGUACAGAUAGAUUUGCCAAACCACGACACACACGCAUGUACCACUCCACUCCUGAUUCCGACUUCCGACAUCUGUUCACACAAAAAAAAAAUCACCUCCGUUCCCCUUUCUCCUUGCUCUCCCGUGAGGCUACUGCCGCUGAGCCUGCUCCUCGAUUCCGUCCGCCGGAGCUGCCAAUCGACACAGGCGAGCACAGAAUCAUGCUCUCUGUAGCCUGCACAGCAGAUUCGUUCCCGCCAACAUGCCCUUCUCCCUUUACUCGCAGCCUAUGUGCCCCUGUAUGACAUCGGGUCAGCGGAGCCGGAACUGGAGCUCGAUCCGCCACUAUGGCAUCCUCGGUGACGGUAACUGCGACGCCAUCGGCGCAGCGGCUAUAGCAGGCUUGCACUUGCAGAGGGACAGAGGGAUACACACCUGGAAGAGGAGGGCUCCGAGGUCCCCAUUGUGCCGCCAUCUACCUCUGGAAGGAGAUGAGAGCCCCGAGUUCAUCCACCACAGCGGCUGAAGAGGAAGGCUCUCUGAGAUCUCCACCGCGCCGCCAUCUGCCUAGGGAUUGGUAGGUGACACGGCGGCCAAAGAGGGAGAAGAGGAGGCCAGCCAUAGGGAAGCUCACAGCGGCUAGAGAGGGAGAAGUGGAGGCCGGCCAUAGGGAAGCCAUCAGCCGCCUCGGUAGGUGGCACGGCGGCGGCCAGAGAGGGAGAAGAGGAGGCUGGCCAUGGGAAAAGAAAGUUGAGGGCAAAACGACAUCUCGAAUUGUUCCAUGGUGGGGAUCGUGUGGCGCCGCUUUGACCAGCUGCCGCUUUGACCGAAUCAACCAGAAGGCAAUAGAUGCAAUUGGAAGUGAUCCAUAAAAAGAGGAAGGAGAGAGGCAACAACCGGUAGCCGGUUGCCUGACCGCCUGGAAAAAAAAAGAUGUAAAACAAUUACCUGAGUGAUUACGGAAGGGACAAAACAAAUACAGUAGCUACGUGUCAAUCAAUAAUUCAGGGAAAGAGUGGAUAAAUAGCA